AACUGUAUUGAACUAGACGCUACCAUGAAUUGAGAACUGUAUUGAACUAGACGCUACGAAGAAUUGAGAACUGUAUUGAACUAGACGCUACGAAGAAUUGAGAACUGUAUUGAACUAGACGCUACGAAGAAUUGAGAACUGUAUUGAACUAGACGCUACGAAGAAUUGA
rnacentral:sRNA from 1 species